rnacentral:rRNA from 1 species
UACGUAGGGUGCAAGCGUUGUCCGGAAUUAUUGGGCGUAAAGAGCUCGUAGGCGGUCUGUCACGUCUGCUGUGAAAACUCGGGGCUUAACCCCGGGUCUGCAUUCGAUACGGGCUAGCUAGAGUGUGGUAGGGGAGAUCGGAAUUCCUGGUGUAGCGGUGAAAUGCGCAGAUAUCAGGAGGAACACCGGUGGCGAAGGCAGGUCUCUGGGCCGAUACUGACGCUGAGGAGCGAAAGCGUGGGGAGCGAACAGG